rnacentral:lncRNA from 1 species
AAAUUUAGAACAUGACCUUGACCUUUGACCUUGACCUCAUUUUCAUUUUUUUGGACCAAGGACCUCAAAUCUGAAGACCCUAGGUCUCUAUCACUUAUGGUUUACCAGUUAGAAAUGCAUAAUACUUAUAUAAUUUACAUAAGGGGCAAUAACUCUCAUAUGGAGUUUCUGGAAAGCUUCGGUCUAAAUGAAUUGCCUAAUCCUGAAGAUGUAAUGAGCAAUUUGGUAAAAUAAAUUUGUCGUAAUCUUUUACGGUUGAGAAGGAGUAGUGGCCACAAGACAAACAGUGUUUUGGUAGAUAACUCUUACAACGUAAAGUAUUUUGUUACGCGGUUAAAAAAAAUUAAAGCGUAUAAACUAUAGGAUAUCAUAUUCCAAAUAUCUAAGCGACAUCUUUUGAAACAUCAACAAUACGCAAGAAAAAAUUUAGGCGGAAGAAUAAAAAAAAAAAUAAUAAUAAUAAAAACCAAUUGUUCAAAGAACAAUUGAAGGUCUUUCCACAAGUAAAGAUCUAUUUUAUUAUCAAAAUAUUAAAAAUCAAUUUAAAAUGUCAGUUCCUAUGACUUUAUAAUGUAUAAAUAUGAAUUUAAAGCAAAGGUCAAAAUCUAGAACGUCCUAUUAACCUUUGACCUUGACCUCAAUUUCAAGGUCACCAAUCAAGGACCUCAAAUAAAAAGACCUUAGGUCUGUAAUAUGUAUGGUUAAUGAGUUAUAUCACUUUAGGCAUGAUUUUAAAUAUAAGAUGGGCGAAAACUCUCAUUUAUUGUUUACGCACCCUUCCAACCAAAAUUUAUAAGUUACAACAUGUCGCAACUUACAAUUUAGUAAAAAUAAUUCCUCAAUAUCUUUCACGGUUGUUGAAAAUAAGAGAAAAUAAGCCAAAAUCAAAAUUAAGAAUAUGACCUUGACCUUUGACCUUGACCUUAUUUUCAUUUUUUUGGACCAAGGAACUUAAAUCCAAAGACCCUAGGCCUAUAUCACUGAUGGUUUACCAGUUAGAAACGCAUAUCACUUAUAUCAAAUGCAGAAGGGGAAAUAACUCUCAUAUGGAGUCUCCGGAUAGCUUCGGUCUAAAUGAAUAUCCAAAUCCUGAAGAUGUAACGAGCAAUUUGGUAAAAUAAAUUUGUCGUAAUCUUUUACGGUUGCGAAGGAGUAGUGGCCACAAGAAAAACAGUGUUAGGGGAGAUAACUCUUACAACGUAAAGUAUUUUGUUACGCGGUUGUAAAUUUUUAAAGCGUAUAAACUAUACGAUAUCAUAUUCCAAAUAUCUAAGCGACAACUUAUUAAACAACAAUACUACGCAAGAAAAAAAAUUAGGCGGAAGAAAAAAAAAAUAAUAAUAAUAAUAAUAAUAAUAAUAAUAAUCAGAACAAAACCUAUAGGUCUUUCCACGGAAAAGUGGAAAGACCUAAUUAAAA